rnacentral:rRNA from 1 species
UACGGAGGGGGCUAGCGUUGUUCGGAAUUACUGGGCGUAAAGCGCGCGUAGGCGGACCUGCAAGUCGGGGGUGAAAGCCCGAGGCUCAACCUCGGAACUGCCUUCGAUACUGCGGGUCUCGAGUCCGGGAGAGGUGAGUGGAAUUCCUAGUGUAGAGGUGAAAUUCGUAGAUAUUAGGAAGAACACCAGUGGCGAAGGCGGCUCACUGGCCCGGUACUGACGCUGAGGCGCGAAAGCGCGGGGAGCAAACAGG